rnacentral:lncRNA from 1 species
CAUUUUUAGUUAAUGAGAAGCCAGCUUUAUUUAGCUCUAUUAAGCACUGCAUUUGAAGUGCUUUUAGGAUUGCAAGCCAUCAUUAUAAGUCACAACACUUGUCAAGUUAGAGGUGGGGUAUUUUUUUGGAAAGGAUAAUUAAGAACGUCUUUCAAAUGCAUCUGAUGAGUGUUUUCCUCCUUUUCCCUGGUGCCCAUAGAGUUCGCUAUCUAGUGAACUGCAGUCCGGCAGGAAGCACGAUGGCCUGGAAAGGCCACAAGAAGGAAUCUCCUGUGAAGGGACAGCAGGCAGGGAAAUUAAAUGGAAGGGCAAAGAGCAGCCACAGCAACACGCAUGUGCCGCCAGUUACCAGAAACGAUCUACCGAGUGUUAAAAAGCGCAAACAACAAGCAGGACAAAAAAGCCGAAAGCAACUUGAUUUAAGAAGAACAGGGAGAUUAGGCACUGAGCCUCUGUAGGAGAAAUUUGACUCUUCAGCAGUGUGUGAUGAAGAUGAGUAGGAGUUUAUCUGGCUGUCUAAAUGUGGAAAAACAUGCUGGCCUGCUCAUUCUUCUUGAUCUAGCCCUAGCAUCAAAGGAAAUUUGCUUUGCAUUAUGAAGCUUGCUGAUGUCAGAAGGAAAAAAAAAAUUAGGCCCAGAUGGCAUGAUGCUAAAUAGAGCUGAGUACGAAGUGUGCGUGUUGAAAGAGGCCAAUCAGUUUUUGCUGAUCCUGAAUAAGUGUGAGGAGGAAGAAAAAUAUUUGCUUUUCUAUUCAUUUUCCUUAAAGAGACCUAAACUGUGUAUAUGUUAUAGCUGAGCAGAAGCCUGGAUGAAAAAAACUCACUGUGUUUAGAAGGAUGGUCCUGUUGUUAGUUCUAAUAAUUCCCAUCUCCAUCAUGUUGUGUUACUGACUGUUAUCUGGAACCCUGAUUUCAUGACUAAACAUGGUUCAACCCUCUACAGAUGGGAAAAAAAGAUUAGGACUUGUUCUUGAUUUGUUAAAAUCUUCAAGUGAGCAAAAAUUUGUUUUACAUUUGAGUAAGUUGGCUACUCAUUUAUCUAGAAAGGACAUAUAUAUCCACAUUUGUGGGCAUGUAUAAUUUAAAUUAGAUUACUAGUAGAAGAUUUGUUUUUUGGCUAAAAAGUACUCAAGGAAGUAAAGACUUAAUAAUAUUUGUUUCUCACAUUUAAAGAAGGAAUUCCAAAACAAAAACCCAGGCAAUCUAAAAUGUCUUGUAUGGACCUGAGCUUGAUUCAUUUAAUAUUAUUUAUGUCUAUUCCUGGAUUACUUUGGGUUAGAGUCUGGUUCCUUUAUAUGUGAAUAAAAAAUAAAAAUCAAAGUUAUGUUCUUUAUUC